CCUACGGGGGGCUGCAGUGGGGAAUAUUGGACAAUGGGGGGAACCCUGAUCCAGCCAUGCCGCGUGUGUGAAGAAGGCCCUCGGGUUGUAAAGCACUUUCAGUGAGGAAGAACGCCUGGUGGUUAAUACCCAUCAGGAAAGACAUCACUCACAGAAGAAGCACCGGCUAACUCCGUGCCAGCAGCCGCGGUAAUACGGAGGGUGCGAGCGUUAAUCGGAAUUACUGGGCGUAAAGCGCGCGUAGGUGGCUUGAUAAGCCGGUUGUGAAAGCCCCGGGCUCAACCUGGGAACGGCAUCCGGAACUGUCAAGCUAGAGUGCAGGAGAGGAAGGUAGAAUUCCCGGUGUAGAGGUGAAAUGCGUAGAGAUCGGGAGGAAUACCAGUGGCGAAGGCGGCCUUCUGGACUGACACUGACACUGAGGUGCGAAAGCGUGGGUAGCAAACAGGAUUAGAUACCCGAGUAGUC
rnacentral:rRNA from 1 species